GGGUUCCUACUUGCGGAAGAAUGGGUUUGGAUGGUAAACUGCUUUUGUACGGAACGAAACGGUCCUGGUUAAUACCUGGGGCUAAUGACGGUACCGUAAGAAUAAGCACCGGCUAACUACGUGCCAGCAGCCGCGGUAAUACGUAGGGUGCAAGCGUUAAUCGGAAUUACUGGGCGUAAAGCGUGCGCAGGCGGUUUUGUAAGACAGGCGUGAAAUCCCCGGGCUUAACCUGGGAAUGGCGCUUGUGACUGCAAAGCUGGAGUGCGGCAGAGGGGGAUGGAAUUCCGCGUGUAGCAGUGAAAUGCGUAGAUAUGCGGAGGAACACCGAUGGCGAAGGCAAUCCCCUGGGCCUGCACUGACGCUCAUGCACGAAAGCGUGGGGAGCAAACAGGAUUAGAUACCCUGGUAGUCCACGCCCUAAACGAUGUCAACUGGUUGUUGGGUCUCUUCUGACUCAGUAACGAAGCUAACGCGUGAAGUUGACCGCCUGGGGAGUACGGCCGCAAGGUUGAAACUCAAA
rnacentral:rRNA from 1 species